ACAGAUGAUGGCAUUUUUCUCAGAGGGUUACAGAAAUACUAAGUCACCGGUCAUCUCAGUGUGACGUGUGUCCAAGGGAAACCAGGAAAUGAAGGAUAAUGAAGCCAUCUGAGAAGACAACAGUGUCCAGAGGCUCUGGGGCCCUGGGGCAGCACAGCUCCACACUGGUCAGGAAUGGAGGUCAAUGGUGACAAGGCAGGUGGAUGCCCUCCUGAAUCAUCUCAGAACACACAUCUCUUGUGAAGCAUCACCUUCGCCUGGGCAGGAGGAGGGCAGGCCCGCUGUGUGCAGGAGGCCCUGGCAUCAUCUGGUCCCCAGGGUAUGAGAGGCAUCGAGAGACAAGUCUACCUGUACCGAAGGAAUAAAACACCUGCUCAGCUCAGCUUGGAAAUAAACCAGUAAGACACGGGUCGACCUCCCCCCACGGCCACGGAGACAGUCAGAACUCUGCCAUUACAGACUGUAUGGAAAAAUAAAAAGAGUUCGGACUGUAGCAACUUCAUUAAAUUCCUGACUCAAAAACACCCAGAGAAAAACAACCUCCCAGAAAGAGCACAGCCUGGAACAGAGAGACAUCUGAUGAAACUGCUCCUCGGAUUAUUUUUUUUUCCUCUGUUCUCCAGUUUUGUGUCUUACUCAUUACUUAACAUAUAUUUACAUGCCUGCUUUCUAAAAAUAGCUCUAGUUCUAAUUACUCUGCUUAGUAAUUUCCAGGACCAUUUGGGCUGAAGAUUAAAUGCCAGAUCUUCCUUGAAAAACUACUUUUAAGGCAUGUAGAGAGAGGCACAAAAUUAUACUUCUUGACAAUUCUGAUGUGUGCCCGGGGAAGCAGCCCCUUCCACACAAACACCACCGCUCCCAAUCUGGCAGGGAAGGCCACAGCUGCCAGCGUCACGUGUAGGCAGAUGCAGAGGAUAAAGGAGGCAAAGAGGACAGUUGCAACUGCCAAUUUCCCCAAUCCUUCGGAAAUAUACCUCAUUUACCUCAAGAGACAGGACAGGACAUUUACAGUCCCAGAAAUGUACUCAUAUGCCCCAAGUAUAUCUCCUUG
rnacentral:lncRNA from 1 species